CCAGGACGCCCCAGAAAAGUAUUGGAGUGAACUUAAUGAGCCUAGAGAAUUCCAAGUACAAUUUCCCGCUUGGCUUCCACCAUUUGUAGACAUCAGACUGCAGAAUUUAGAUAAAACAGUAAGCACAUAUCAGGAUUUUCCCCCCAACCAAAACGAGCACAAAAGCAAGAACAAUAUGAAGAUAAAAAGUAUGACAACCAAGGAUUUUUUUUCCCCAACCAAAACGAGCACAAAAGCAAGAACAAUAUGAAGAUAAAAGUAUCACAACCAAGACGGCGAUCGACAGUUACUUUACUGAGGAAAAUUCUGAAAAGACAAUAAUGAAGCACACACGAGAAAAGGAGUUUCUCCAAACCACUUUAGCAACAUGAUUGAGCACAUACCAGGAUAUUUUUUUCAACCAAAACGAGCACAAAAGCAAGAACAAUAUGAAGAUAAAAGUAUCACAGCCAAGAGGGAGAUUGACAGUUACUUUACUGAGGAAAAUUCUGAAAAGACAAUAAUGAAGCACACACAAGAAAAGGAGUUUCUCCAAACCACAUUAGCAACAUGAUUACAAAAUAAUACCACAAAUCAGAAACAAGAGAAGCUUGACAUCCCAGUUGUGAACUCUACCCAAGGAGCCAAUGCUUGGGAAAUUAUCACCACGUGCAAGGGUAUGAUCUUUCCUUAAAGAGUGCAAAGUAUAAUAAAAUCAAACAAGAUUUCCUCAGACAAAAUAUAUAUCAAAGAUAUGAAAACUGAGUAUCUUAAUACCUUGCAUGCAAAUUUCAGUCCUCACUUAAAUUUUAAAGACCUCGCCAGCAUUGAAGCACAAGAAAAUUGAAGUGAAUAACCGGCAACUAAGAAAACCAAAAACGAAGAAAAUAUCACCUG
rnacentral:lncRNA from 1 species